AGGCAGGCAGGCAGGCAGGCAGGCAGGCAGGCAGGCAGACGGACAGAUGGAUCGACAUACAGACAAGAGUUUAUUUAUAACAAAUGAAACAAAGACAUUUUUCAAAAUAUUGCAAAUUUCCGGUGUUUCAAGCAUUGAAGCAUGAAAAUUAAAGUACUCUUUACAUGCUGCAAGAGAUCUCAUUCGGGAAGUAAAAAUAGAAUCGUGGGCUGAUUCGGCAAGCUUGCUUGGUUUGAACAAGUUGCAGUGUAAAUCCAAAUAGCAACGAACACGGUGGUUUUUGGAGCGUCUGAUCGUAAUUUUAAAUAAUAUCUAUCAAGAGUGAAUUUGUCGAAGUUGCGAAAUACAUUAUCGAUAAUAUUAUUUCUAUAUAUAAAACAUAUUCAAAUGUAUUGCAAUGAAAUUUGUAAUGACACGUCAAAUUAUGCUCUCGGUGGUGAUCAGUAGAAUACGAAUAAACGAGCGUAAAACAGCGUAACAAAAUUAAUUGUAAGCCAAACGAGAGAUAUCUCAAUAAAUAAGGGCUGAAAGAAUCGA
rnacentral:lncRNA from 1 species